rnacentral:rRNA from 1 species
AUUGAACGCUGGCGGCAUGCUUUACACAUGCAAGUCGAACGGCAGCGCGGGCUUCGGCCUGGCGGCGAGUGGCGAACGGGUGAGUAAUACAUCGGAACGUGCCCAGUAGUGGGGGAUAGCUCGGCGAAAGCCGGAUUAAUACCGCAUACGACCUGAGGGUGAAAGCGGGGGAUCUUCGGACCUCGCGCUAUUGGAGCGGCCGAUGGCAGAUUAGCUAGUUGGUGGGGUAAAGGCCUACCAAGGCGACGAUCUGUAGCUGGUCUGAGAGGACGACCAGCCACACUGGGACUGAGACACGGCCCAGACUCCUACGGGAGGCAGCAGUGGGGAAUUUUGGACAAAGGGCGAAAGCCUGAUCCAGCAAUGCCGCGUGUGUGAUGAAGGCCUUCGGGUUGUAAAGCACUUUUGGCGGGAACGAAAAGGACUGUGCCAAUACCACGGCUCGAUGACGGUACCCGCAGAAUAAGCACCGGCUAACUACGUG